UGUAGGGAGCGGCUAAAGAUGGCGCCGACAUCCGGUGGUCGUUUGUGGUAAACACCUACAGCGCAUGUGUUGGCAGACCCCCAGCACCUACAAGGCCAGGGUGAUAUUCAUGCUAAAUAGGUAUUUCAUGCUCCACCAAUCCCCAGUGGACAAAUUUACAGCCACAGCCUGUCUUGUAUUUAAGGCGAGUGCCUUUGUUCCCCGGGGUCCCCGUACUAUCAAUUAGGUGUUCCUGCAAUAAAGGCUGAUUGAGAAGGAUCCAACGGUGUUGCGUCUUCCUUGCCGGUCGAGGUGGGCGUGACAACUGGUGGCCCGUACGGGGACCCGAGAAAAUCUUUUCUCGUCUGGAUCCAGAACUUUUUCAGCCUCAGGACGGUCGACGUCGCAGCCAGUUCCUGCCCCUGUGGUCAAAAUGCCCCAGGUUGGGGGACAGAGAAGCCCCUCGGACUACAAAACUGCCAACAGCCAAAGGUAAAAGUUAAAACAGAGAACAUUCCAGGCCCAAGCCUAACCAGAUGUGUUUCAAAUGCAGAUGCUUCAUCAACUCUGACCAACUUUUACUCCGACAGGACGAGAUAAAAAUAAUAAGGACCUGAAGAUCCGAUCCUUCUCCUGAUUUAGUAGCUCUGUUCCAAGAACCAGGGGCCAUAAAACCUUUUGGCCCUUAUCUCCUGGAGCCAUAAAACAGGGACAUAUUGGGGUAGGAUGGGCUAGAAAAGGCCUCGAUGAUUUGGGCUAGCAUGAGUAAAACUUAUAAUAAAAAAGAGACAAGGUAAUGGUAAAGUGUUUUUGUAUAUACAUUCUUUUAGGGUUAUGUUUUAGUCUUUGGACCCUGAUUAGAGACAGUUUACACCCUAGACAUGAGAGAGAAUGGGUUUGGGAAAAACAGUACUCCCAGACUCUCCACAGAUGCUUUGGAGAAAGAGAAAAACUUUCAGAGCUCUCCUGGGAACAGAAGAUAGGUAGGAGAUGUCCUGCCUCUCUGCUGGCUCCUAUUAGAGAAAUGCUUAUUUCUGGUUCUGAACUCCAUAGAUAAGAUAUCUGAGUUCUUUCAGUGGGACACCAUCUAGUUUUUUCCCUCUAUGUCUAUUGUCUGUCCUUGGUGCACCAAGCUGUCCAUGUCUGUCAGUUUAUGUCUGUGGUUUUUGUUUCUCAUUGUUUAAAUGUUUUAUGUUUCAUGUUCAAAAGAAAAAAUGGUAAAAACUUUAUCUGCCGGUCAUUCACACCUUGAUUUGGUCUUAACUCGUUUCUGAAAAGAGAACAAAUGAAUAAAAAGCAGUUUCAAUCGGCCUUUGGAGCCCUGUACCUACAGCAAAGAGCCUAGGUCAGCUGGACAAGCUGCCCGGGGGCAGAACAUCUGCAGGAGCUGAUCUUAAAGGUGCCAGCAGCUCCUCAGCUUCUUGGUAUGGGAGCUGAUGUCUGUUUCUCUUAGAAAAAUCCCUGAGUUGUUAUUAGACUUAACAGGUGACAAGGUGUUUCUUUUAAAAUCACAGCUAGAAAAGCAAAAAUGGUGUUUGGUCUAAAUAUUAAAGACAUGUGUUAACCACUUCAAUUUUGUUUCUGACUGGUUUUAAAUGUAUAAAUAUGUUCUACAUGCCUUGGUCAUAGAUUAUUGGCCUUUAAGUUAUUGGAUAUGGUUAAAAAAUUAUAACAUCUAUAACAAGAAGUUGACAUAAAACUGAUAAUUUAUAUAGAGUCAUUCUAGACAAUAUGUGACAUGAGCCAACCUAGAGAAACAGGUAUAAAUUGAGAUAAUAUUUUUAUAGAACUCUUAUCCUAGAAGCCAGGCACCCCCAAAUUACAGAAUGUAAAAUUGUGUUGGAAGUUUUUAAAAGAUUUCAUGAUUCUUUCAAUUUAAUUUCUGAUUCUGCUUAUGUAGUUAACGCUGUGUGCUCACUUGAAAUUACAGGGCCAAUUAGGUUGACUAGUACUAUAUGUCAAAUUCUUUUAGAAUUACAAAAAUUAAAUUUGGACCAAGAAAAAAUAAGUUUUUCACACAACAUAUUCGAGCUCAUACUAAUUUGCCUGGUCCCAUGGCCAGUUAUAACACUUUGGUGGAUGCUAGUACUCGCAGAGAAUUUAUUUUUCAUGCAGCUCCAGUUGAUCUUGCUAGAGAAUUUCAUCAAAAGUUUCAGGUUCCUGCUUUCACUCUUCAACAAAAAUUUAAAAUCUCUAGAGCUACAGCUCGUGAUGUAGUAUUACGUUGCCAGAAUUGUGUUCAGUUUCACCACCCUCCUCAGGUGGGAAUUAACCCUCGUGGCCUGAUUCCAUUAAAGCUCUGACAGAUGGAUGUCACACACAUAUCUCAAUUUGGAAAUUUAAAAUAUACACAUGUUUCUGUUGAUACCUGUUCUGGCAUUAUACAUGCCACUCUGAUGACUGGUGAAAAGGCUCGUAAUGCCAUUAGUCAUUGCUUAGAGGCGUGGACAGUCUGGGGAAAGCCUGACAGCCUCAAGACAGACAACGGACCUGCCUACACUACAAAGUCUUUUCAGACAUUUUGCCAAACAAUACAGGUCAAACAUAUACAGGAUUGCCAUACAAUCCCCAAGGUCAAGGAAUUGUAGAAAGAGCACAUCGUACUUUAAAAGAGCUCUUACAAAAACAAAAAGGGGGAAUUGCCUAUGGCAAAACACCAACAGAACAGUUGUCUUUAGCUCUUUUUACUCUAAAUUUCUUAAUUUUGGAUAUGCAUGGCUGCUCUGCUGCGGCUCACCAUGCUGCUACUAAACCUAUGACUAAUCAAAUAUAGACAGCUGAGACUAUCAAUCAGAUUGUAGACAGAACCGCAGUGGCAUUAGAGAUACAAGAAGAAUUUAAUGCCCACUACGCAUCUGGCUUUCUAUUAGCUAACCAACGAAUAGAUUUGAUUCAAGAACAAAUUGAGGCAUUAUAUCAUAUGACGCAGCUGUCCUGCGUUUCCUCCUUUAGAGGCUUAUGUGUUACUCCAUUGAAAGCUAACUUUUCUCAGUAUUCUCAACAGAGCAAAGAAAUCUCUAAUUAUUUGAAAGGAAACUGGUCCAUGGAAGCGGAACAAUUAUCGAGACAAUUGCUGAUGCAGAUUGCUGUCCUUAACAACACCAGAAUGGAACCCAUCUCGAUUGGGGAUUUCACCUCGUGGAUCACCAAUGCUUUCUCAUUUUUCAAAGAAUGGGCUGGCAUGUUUGCCUGGGGGGCCAUUGUCCUCUUGGGAUGUGGAGUAUGCCUAUGGCUUUUUUGCCGUUUAAAACGAGAACAUGCUAGACACAAAGCGAUUGUUUACCAGGCUAUGGCGGCCAUUGAGAGCGGUGCUUCUCCCAGUGUGUGGCUGGCCUCUCUAAAAGAUUGAGAGUUCGCCCUAGAUCAUAUUUUGUCACUGUCAUGUGAAGUCAUUGUAUCCAGAGACGGGCAACUUUCCUCAGGCUCGGACCAACCUAAGCCAGGAGCCCAGUGGCGAUAGGGUUAAUUUCCAGUGACGGGUAAGGCCGAGUUUUGAGAGGAAUGACCUAAGACAGGAGCAAUGACGUGUAUUGACGUGACACCCAGAUCUAGACCAGUCAUGGACAGAGGUGGCCCCGCCCUGUUUGUACAUUCGGGCUGGUCCCAUGCCCCUCUGCUCUGUCUCUCCCCUAUUAUUAGCACACCAAUAGCCCAGAAUGGUGUGUUGUACAUUUCAGUCAUCUCUAGCCAUUGGGGUGCAGUCCUAACUGCAGGAGUGGCUCGUCAUGGCCGAGCUGGUCACUCUGUGAGGCAUGUCUGAUCUCUCUCAGACCACUACCUCCACCUAAUGGGUUCAUUUUUAAAAAAAACAAAAAAGAGGGAGAUGUAGGGAGCGGCUAAAGAUGGCGCCGACAUCCGGUGGUCGUUUGUGGUAAACACCUACAGCGCAUGUGUUGGCAGACCCCCAGCACCUACAAGGCCAGGGUGAUAUUCAUGCUAAAUAGGUAUUUCAUGCUCCACCAAUCCCCAGUGGACAAAUUUACAGCCACAGCCUGUCUUGUAUUUAAGGCGAGUGCCUUUGUUCCCCGGGGUCCCCGUACUAUCAAUUAGGUGUUCCUGCAAUAAAGGCUGAUUGAGAAGGA